rnacentral:rRNA from 1 species
GACGAACGCUGGCGGCGUGCUUAACACAUGCAAGUCGAACGGAAAGGCCCUGCUUUUGUGGGGUGCUCGAGUGGCGAACGGGUGAGUAACACGUGAGUAACCUGCCCUUGACUUUGGGAUAACUUCGGGAAACUGGGGCUAAUACCGGAUAGGAGCUCCUGCUGCAUGGUGGGGGUUGGAAAGUUUCGGCGGUUGGGGAUGGACUCGCGGCUUAUCAGCUUGUUGGUGGGGUAGUGGCUUACCAAGGCUUUGACGGGUAGCCGGCCUGAGAGGGUGACCGGCCACAUUGGGACUGAGAUACGGCCCAGACUCCUACGGGAGGCAGCAGUGGGGAAUAUUGCACAAUGGGCGGAAGCCUGAUGCAGCAACGCCGCGUGCGGGAUGACGGCCUUCGGGUUGUAAACCGCUUUCGCCUGUGACGAAGCGUGAGUGACGGUAACGGGUAAAGAAGCACCGGCUAACUACGUG